CUCUCCUCCUUCCGCGUUACCUGUGUCAGGACACCAAUCCGGAGUCACUGGGAGCCUCGGUCCUCCUUAAACCCUUCAAGUCUGUCAGAUAGAAUACCCUGGAUUUCAAUAUAAUACUAAUAGUGAUCAUUCUAAAGUAAUUUCCAUUUACAGAGCACUUUCACUUAGGGCAGUAACUCCUGUACCAAAAGAACGUACACUCGGUAUUUGUUGCAUACGUGGAUAACUAUAGUUGAGCAGUGCCAUGACACAGAAUGAAAGCCUGAAAUGUUUCUGAGACAAGUGCAAGAACUGAAGAACAACAACCAAGAAUACCUGGAUUUAAAACCUAUACUCCUGGCCAGGCACGGUGGCUCACGCCUGUAAUCCCAGCAUGUUGGGAGGCCGAGGCGGGUGGAUCACAAGGUCAGGAGUUCAAGACCAGCCUGAACAACAUGGUGAAACCCCGUCUCUACUAAAAAUACAAAAAUUAACCAGGCAUGGUGGCACGCACCUGUAAUCCCAGCUACUUAGGAGGCUGAGGCAGGAGAACUGCUAGAACCCGGGAGGCAGAGGUUGCAGUGAGCUGAAAUUAUGCCACUGCACUCCAGCCUGGGCGACAGAGUGAGACGCCAUCUCAAAAGAAAAAAAAAAAAAGGGAAUCUCAAAACUUCUUUUCCAAGACAGAAAAAAACCCCAAAGGGUGAGCAAAUCUGGAACUCAAGCCCUUUCCCCACCUUAGGAGUUCCCUCUGAGAGCAUCAAAGACAUGGCUAGAACACUGUGCCUCCCUUCCCUUAACCUUCAGACUUCAUAGUUUUGAGACCUCUUGGGCAAAACUCAACCAGGGCUAACAAAUAAGGCUGGAUUGAGAACCCCAGGAGGGAGGAUGGAGGGAUGGGGAUGGGCUUUGAGAAACACCAGGCAAAAAAGAAUGCAACUCUCAAUUGUUCAUGCGUGACAGUGAG
rnacentral:lncRNA from 10 species